rnacentral:rRNA from 1 species
AGAGUUUGAUCAUGGCUCAGAUUGAACGCUGGCGGCAGGCUUAACACAUGCAAGUCGAACGGUAACGGGUUGAAAGCUUGCUUUCAAUGCUGACGAGUGGCGGACGGGUGAGUAAGGCUUGGGGAUCUGGCUUUUGGAGGGGGAUAACCAUUGGGAACGAUGGCUAAUACCGCAUAGUAUCGAGAGAUGAAAGGGGUGGGAAACCACUUGCCAAGGGAUGAACCCAAGUGAGAUUAGGUAGUUGGUGGGGUAAAGGCCUACCAAGUCGACGAUCUCUAGCUGGUCUGAGAGGAUGGCCAGCCACACUGGGACUGAGACACGGCCCAGACUCCUACGGGAGGCAGCAGUGGGGAAUAUUGCGCAAUGGGGGGAACCCUGACGCAGCCAUGCCGCGUGAAUGAACAAGGCCUUCGGGUUGUAAAGUUCUUUCGGUGGUGAGGAAGGUUAGGAUGUUAAUAGCAUACUGAUUUGACGUUAGCCACAGAAGAAGCACCGG